UACGGGGGGGGCAAGCGUUGUUCGGAAUUACUGGGCGUAAAGGGCUCGUAGGUGGCCAACUAAGUCAGACGUGAAAUCCCUCGGCUUAACCGGAGAACUGCGUCUGAUACUGGAUGGCUUGAGUUCGGGAGGGGGAUGCGGAAUUCCAGGUGUAGCGGUGAAAUGCGUAGAUAUCUGGAGGAAUACCGGUGGCGAAGGCGGCAUCCUGGACCGACAUUGACGCUGAACGGCGAAAGCUAGGGGAGCAAACGGG
rnacentral:rRNA from 1 species